GGCGUUUGGUGUAGUGGUAUCACGCCGCUAUCGGUAACACGAGGUGUGAAGUAGCGGAGUGCCUUGGUUCGAAUCCGAGGAGCGCCC